GGAGAGGUGUCCGAGCGGCUUAAGGAGCACGAUUGGAAAUCGUGUGUGGGGGAAACUCCACCGGGGGUUCAAAUCCCCCCCUCUCCGCCA
rnacentral:tRNA from 1 species